rnacentral:rRNA from 1 species
UACGUAGGGUGCGAGCGUUGUCCGGAAUUAUUGGGCGUAAAGAGCUCGUAGGCGGUUUGUCGCGUCUAUCGUGAAAACUGGAGGCUUAACUUUCAGCGUGCGGUGGAUACGGGCAGACUUGAGUUCGGUAGGGGAGACUGGAAUUCCUGGUGUAGCGGUGAAAUGCGUUGAUAUUGGAAGGAACGCCGGUGGCGAAAGCGAGCUGCUGGACAUUUUCUGACGCUGAGGAGCGAAAGCGUGGGGAGCGAACAGG